rnacentral:sRNA from 1 species
AAUUGAAGAAAUAAUUUUACCAUGCCUUUCAUCUUAUAAUCAUCUAAAAGCAAAGCAUAAAAAUACAUACUAAGAAAUCAUUCAAAAAUCAAAUUAUGUUUUAUUAGAAAUAACCAUGUACUCUAUAAUUGAUUAAUUCUGAUACUAAAAUUGGAAUUUUAUGCAGGAAAUCUAGUAAUUUUAGAUAAUAAUAAUACUAUGAAAGAACAUUGUGUAUGCUUUCUUUCUCACGCUCCUACAAGAAUAUACUUUUAUAAACUCCUAGUAUGACCGACAUCUUGGAUCCUAAACCAUUUAAAUCAUGACACCUUGGUUAUUCGAGGUGUCGUGAUUUGAGAGGAUAACCACACGUGUGCAUUAUAUAUGGUCAACGUUUGAAAUAUCUUAAUUUGAGUGGACAAUUGGACAUUUAUAUUGUAUAUUUCGAUCUAGUGAAAAGUGAGCUGCUAAGGAUAAUGAUCCCACUAUGGAGGUCGUGAAUUGAGUGGGCAAUCAUACGUGUACGUCAUAUAUGGUUGAUGUCUAAGGUGUCGUGAUUUAAAUAACGACAAUCAUACCUGUGUAUUGCAUAUUUGGGUCAAGUGAAAAGUGAGUUGUUAAGGAUGUAGCAAAGACCUUACUUUUGAGAUGUAGUGAUUUGAGUGGACAAUCGUGCGCGUAUCUCAUAUAGGUCAACAUUUGAAGUGUCGUAAUUUGAAUGGUCAAUCAUACGUGUACAUCAUAUAUUUGGAUCCAGUAAAAAGUGAGCUGUUGAGGAUGUUGUAAAGACCCCACCUCACCACCCUCUGUAUAAAUACAUAUAUAUACAUGUAUGUACGCAUGAAUAUAUAGAGGAAAUUUAAACAUCAGAUACCAACCACAUAGCCUUCUCUCUCAUCAGCAAUAAAAACCCAUAAAUGCGAUGGCAUCCUCUCUAUACCCU